AACGCGAAGAACCUUACCAACCUUUGACAUGUCCAUUAUGAGCCUGAGAGAUCAGGUUCUUCGGUUCGGCCGGGUGGAACACAGGUGCUGCAUGGCUGUCGUCAGCUCGUGUCGUGAGAUGUUGGGUUAAGUCCCGCAACGAGCGCAACCCUCAUCUUCAGUUGCCCACGGGUCAGGCCGGGCUACUCUGAAGAAACCGCCGGUGACAAGCCGGAGGAAGGCGGGGAUGACGUCAAGUCCUCAUGGCCCUUACAGGUUGGGCUACACACGUACUACAAUGGUGGUGACAGAGGGCUGCGAACCCGCGAGGGGGAGCCAAUCCUCAAAAGCCAUCUCAGUUCGGAUUGCACUCUGCAACUCGGGUGCAUGAAGUUGGAAUCGCUAGUAAUCGCAGAUCAGCACGCUGCGGUGAAAUCGUUCCCGGGCCUUGUACACACCGCUAGUC
rnacentral:rRNA from 1 species